rnacentral:rRNA from 1 species
UUUACCGUGCAAGGUAGCAUAAUCAUUUGUCUUUUAAUUAAAGGCUUGUAUGAAUGGUUGGAUGAGAUAUAAUCUAUUUUUAUUUAAUUAAAAAUGAAUUUUAAUUUUUAGUAAAAAUGCUAAAAUAAAAAAUAUAGACGAGAAGACCCUAUAAAUCUUUAUUAUUUUUUUAUUAAUUUAUUAAUAGAAUAUAAAAUUUAUUAGUAUAAAAAUAAUUUUAUUGGGGUGAUAAUGAAAUUUAAUAAACUUUUAUUUUAUUUUAUAAAUAUAAUUAAUUUAAUGAUCCAUUUUUAAUGAUUACAAAAUUAAGUUACUUUAGGGAUAACAGCGUAAUUAUUUUAAAGAGUUCAUAUCGAUAAAAUAGUUUGCGACCUCGAUACAAUUAUGGUCCCUACAAAACCAGCCAAGCUUG